GGAAAGGUGCAGGAGUGGUUUAACUGGCACGCCUGGAAAGCGUGUGUACCUAACGGGUACCGCGAGUUCGAAUCUCGCCCUUUCCGCCA
rnacentral:tRNA from 1 species